rnacentral:lncRNA from 1 species
UGAUUCACACAAAAAGUUAACCAAAACCACAUGAUGUUAGUUUGGCAAGUAGGCACUCAACCAAACCCUCAACCAACCCCUCAUGUGUUGCACCAAUUCAAAGUUGUUGGUAUUAUCAAAUUAGGCAUACUAAGCAUUCUUCAAUCGCUAAAAUUAGUUGUUCCUACCAUAAUUGCCCCAUAACCUUUAUACCAGCCCAAACUCAACACAUCAGAUGAUCAAAUGAAACAUUAACAAUUUAUCAGAUUCUAUAAAUCCUUCGAGGGGUCGAAGAUUGGUCAC